UAGGAGUCACCUUUUUGCUAUAGUGGUCUGUUUGGGAACAGACAAUAUAAAUGAGGUUGAUGAAGAUAUGUGAGAAGGCAUGCUGUUGAUGCAGGAGGACUUUGCUGAGUGUGUGCUCCCAGGCUGCAGCUGAUUUCAGUCCCUACAGCACCUUCUCAGCCCAGCGUCCAAGUGCUAAAGCAUGAGGAAUUACUUGUUACUGUGCAGGUGCAGCCUGUGGGCCUGAUUCUGACUUCCAGGAAAUGAUGGGAAGUCACUGGGAUAACCCAUGUCAACAGAGAUCACAAGACUGUGUCAAGUGAACUCCCAUGGUGAGGAACAAAGGUUUGUUUUCAAGGUUGUGGUUUGCACCUGAAGCCACCACCAACAGAGGACCAUUUUUCUCAUCAGCUGGCCUAUUCAUCUAGAAAUGAGGAAACAAACAAUUUUGAAUAU